AGUGAACGCUGGCGGUAGGCCUAACACAUGCAAGUCGAACGGCAGCACAGUAAGAGCUUGCUCUUACGGGUGGCGAGUGGCGGACGGGUGAGGAAUACAUCGGAAUCUACUUUUUCGUGGGGGAUAACGUAGGGAAACUUACGCUAAUACCGCAUACGACCUACGGGUGAAAGCAGGGGAUCUUCGGACCUUGCGCGAUUGAAUGAGCCGAUGUCGGAUUAGCUAGUUGUCGGGGUAAAGGCCCACCAAGUCGACGAUCCGUAGCUGGUCUGAGAGGAUGAUCAGCCACACUGGAACUGAGGCACGGUCCAGACUACUACGGGAGGCAGCAGUGGGGAAUAUUAGACAAUGGGCGGAAGCCUAAUCCAGCCAUACCGCGUGGGUGAAGAAGGCCUUCGGGUUGUAAAGCCCUUUUGUUGGGAAAGAAAAGCAGCAGGUCGAUACCCCGCUGUUCUGACGGUACCCAAAGAAUAAGCACCGGCUAACUUCGUG
rnacentral:rRNA from 1 species